rnacentral:misc_RNA from 1 species
ACUUCUCUUCCUUUUAAUUCCUAACAAUCCCAUGCCCAUUCACACUUCUAAGACAUACCCCAUCCCCAUGGAAGCACAAUCCAAACCCACCCUCUCUAGGAAAUCCUCCUCCUCCUCCUCCUUCCGCCUCCGCAGCCCUAGCCUCAAUUCUCUUCGUCUCCGCCGCAUUUUUGACCUCUUCGACAAAAAUGGCGAUGGCAUGAUCACCGUUCAGGACCUUAGCCAGGCACUCGCCCUUCUAGGCCUAGAUGCUGACUUCUCGGAGCUUGAAUCAACCAUCAGAUCUCACGUUAGGCCAGGCAAUGAUGGUCUUGGGUUUGAUGAUUUCGUAUCACUCCAUCAGUCCUUGGACCAAGCCUUCUUUAGCAACGACGAGCAGAAUGUGGAGAAUGGACAAGAUGAGAUGUCGCAGGAGGAAUCUGAUCUUUCGGAAGCUUUCAAGGUGUUUGAUGAGGACGGUGAUGGGUACAUUUCUGCUCAUGAGCUGCAAGUGGUGUUGAGGAAACUGGGAAUGCCAGAAGCUAAGGAGAUCGACAGAAUUGAGCAAAUGAUCUGCUCUGUUGAUAGCAAUCACGAUGGCCGCGUCGAUUUCUUCGAAUUUAAGGACAUGAU